UGGGGAAUCUUCCGCAAUGGACGAAAGUCUGACGGAGCGACGCCGCGUGAGUGAAGAAGGCCCUCGGGUCGUAAAGCUCUGUCAUCAGGGACGAAUGGCCGGAUCAGGAAAUGGGUUCGGAUUGACGGUACCUGAGAAGGAAGCCACGGCUAACUACGUGCCAGCAGCCGCGGUAAUACGUAGGUGGCGAGCGUUGUCCGGAAUUAUUGGGCGUAAAGCGCGCGCAGGUGGGAUCUUAAGUCCAUUUUGA
rnacentral:rRNA from 1 species